rnacentral:rRNA from 1 species
CCUACGGGUGGCAGCAGUGAGGAAUAUUGGUCAAUGGGCGGGAGCCUGAACCAGCCAAGCCGCGUGAGGGAAGACGGUACAGCGUAUCGUAAACCUCUUUUGUCAGGGAACAAAGGCGGGGACUAGUCCCCGGAUGAGGGUACCUGAAGAAAAAGCAUCGGCUAACUCCGUGCCAGCAGCCGCGGUAAUACGGAGGAUGCGAGCGUUAUCCGGUUUUAUUGGGUUUAAGGGGUGCGCAGGCGGCCUGUUAAGUCAGCGGGAAAAGCCCGGGGCGCAACCCAGUCGAGCCGUUGAAACUGGCGGGCUGGAGUUGGAGAGAGGUACGCGGAAUGCGCGGUGUAGCGGUGAAAUGCUUAGAUAUCGCGAAGAACUCCGAUUGCGAAGGCAGCAUACCGGCGCUCAACUGACGCUGAGGCACGAAAGCGUGGGGAUCGAACAGGAUUAGAUACCCCGGUAGUC